GAGGCUGCGCGCGCGCC
rnacentral:miRNA from 1 species